UAUUGAGCAACCUAAGUUCAGCGUCCCAGUGCCGUUUUUAUUAAAAGCCGAUUUGAGUGAUGAUUGAACAAAGUUAUUGACCCAAUGCCGAUUUUAGUAGCGAUUGUGUGAUUACAAAUCAGAGCAAUAUUCCAGCACAUUUUCUGGCCAUAAGACAACAAAAUAUCUACAUGUUGGGGAUAAAUUUUCAUCUAAAACAGACAUACAAGGUGUAAUAUACAACCUGCCUUUUUCACCGUGAAUACAUUGAAGAACAGACACCAUGACCCCAAGCUUGCUUCAAAAUAGGCUCCACCCGUGCCUUACACAACAUGAGAAGUUUUCAAAUCAUUUGAGACUUUGACCAUUAUUGAAGGGGCUGAAGAAAUUUCUUAAGUGCUCAAGAAGCUAUGCAGUCACUGUCAGGGAUACAAAGCCAGAAUUGUGUAAAAAUUUGAAAAAUAAAUACAGGA